ACCCAACGUCCCCAGCCCGUCACCACCGCCACCACGGGAGCGAGGGAGGGCCCUUGCAGGGUGCGCCCGCGCUGCCCUCUGACAGGUGCUGUUGGUACCUGCGGCCGGGCCCGCCGUCGCCGGCGCGUGAACGGCCUGCCCGAGGCUGCCGGGAGGAGGGCUGCCUGGCCGGCGCGGCCCUUCCCGUCGUGCCCCGGGCUCCUCGGAAGCAGCCUCCCGCUCCUUCAGACGUCGGACUCCUGAGUUUCGAACCUGCCCCGCGGUUUCCCCCUCACGCUGAAUCCAGGGGAGCCGCUACUCGUUUUUGAAGUUCCUAUGCAGCCCUCUCCCGACAUGUUCGAGAAUCUUGCCGGACUGGGGAUGGAUUUGCAGCCUCCGUGUUUGCCCCCACGGUUCGAAAACCGGAAUCUAGGCCCGGUCUCCUGGCCUGUGUUCUGUCGUGGGAUUUCUCCAGAGCACGGACUGACUUAACAUUUCCAUUACUGGGAAUGUAAUGGUUGCUGCGUCAGGACUCUGGAGAUGAUUUUUUUAUUUGGAACGAUAUAAUUUUUGGAAUUUCCUUAAAGGGAAAAAUACAUAUUGCUUAAUUAUAUUGCUUGGGAUAUAUUAUUGCAAGGAAGAAGAAAAUAAGACCCUUUCUUCCCCCACCUUCAAACCUUCUCCGCCCACCUGUCUUUCCCAUGGGCAUUAAUGGCGGCUCCAUUUACUCAGGCCAGAACCAGAAGAGCCAGCUUCACUCUCUCACCCCCUCUACACAAUCUGACUAGAAAUCCUGUUGACCCUACCUUCAAUCUGUGUCUAGGAUGCAACACCUCAACAUGUCCACACCCCCCUUCAUCCCUCACCUGAACACCUAGGUCUCCCUGCCCUCCCUACCCUCCCAGUCGCUGGGUUUCCGUACAGCAGCCACAGGGAUCCUGUCGUUUCUGUGCUCCAAACUGCACAGCGGCUCCUCAGUUUACUUGAAAUAAAACGCCAAAGUCCUUACAAUGGCUGCAGAGCCGGACAACCCACUGGCCUGCCUAGCUGUCUGACCUGCUCUCCCCUUCCUCUGUUAGCUGCAUUGGCCUCUGCACCGGCUGUUGUCUAUUUGUAAAACACCCCUUCCAGGCAUUUCCAGGACUGAACCCUUCAGCUCUUUCAAAUCUUUCCUCCCAUGUCACCUCAGUGAGGCCUUUCCUGACCAACCUGUUUAAACCUGCCCCUGACCCAGAGCACUGCUAGUCUCCCUUGGCCUGCUCCACUUUUCCCAGGACGCUCACCACUUCCUGAAAUACUCGCCGGGUUUACCAUGUAUUGUCUGUCUCCCACUACUAGAAUUUAAGUUCCCUGAGUGGAGGCACAUUUGAUUUUUGAUUGCUAUAUCCCGGUGGCUGCAACAGUUGGCUGGCCCAUGGUAGCAGCUCAGCACACAUUUGUGGAAUAAAUGAACCAAUGAAUGAACUUGAAAAGCUACUUUCACCGCAGAGUAUUCCCCUUCGGGCUUCUCUCACAUGGAAAUAUAUGAACAUAGGAUAAAGUCUGGGAACUCGUGUCGAAAGGUGUGCUCAUUGUUGAAGGCGUUUGUUUGAUAUGAAAGAUACACAGAAAGAUGGCACAGCUUUGACACCAACUUUUCUCCACACCCUGCACUGUCACACCAUUUUUUGUCAUCUUUGUUAAUAUGAUAGAACGAUGGUUUUGCAUUGUUGUUUUAAGUUUUAUUCCACUAAUUGCUAGUAAUGUUGAACCUGUUUUUAUGCAUCACUUUUGCAGAUUGCCUACAGCAUAUCUUUUGCCCACUUGGAUUCAUCUUUGUCUUAUUCAUUUGCAAGAACUCUUUAUAGAAUAUCAGCCCUUUGUUACCUAUGUUACAGCAAUUUUCCCAGUUUGUCAUUUGCUUUUUAAGUCUGUUUAUGUGCUCUUUUGACAUUGCAGUAGUCACCGCUAGCUGGGCCAAAAGUCUGGUCUUGCUGUACAUACUGCCUUCAGAAUAAACACUUAGGAGUAAGCUAGAGAUUUUUGUUAUCAGUUACUCCACCUAGAGGACCAGCAGGUGGAGUCUCCAUGGGCAGAGUCUCGCGGACUGUCAUUUGGUGUGGGGUGGCCAAGAGGGACUGAACAUCUGGAGAACAUGGUUGUCGGGCUCUUUAUACCAGUGGACCCCUCUUUCCUAUGGAAGCCUCGCAUCUCCAUCAGAAGCAGCAGUAAAAUGGCCUCUGCUGUCUUCUGCCUUUCAAGUCUAACUCAAGGGCACCUGAGUAGGUGAACCUAAUUGCAAGGGAGUUAGAUAUGUAACCUAUUCAACUAGAAAGAAGGUAGCCAGAGGGGCUACCUACAGUCCCCACCAAACUUAUGUAUCAGGGCUUCCCAUCCUGGCUGUUGAAUUACCUAUUCUGGCAGCUGUUCCAGUCAAUACAGCUGAUAGUAAAUUUUAAUAACUGGCAGUAAAAGUCUUCCCCAGUAACCCUGAUUUUCAAUGUUUUGUUGGCCAUUUUCACACAUUUUUUCAGGUGUAUAUUUUUUCACACUAUUUGUUCAGAUGAUCAUUGUAAUUCAUUUCAGAAACUAGAUAUCUCUUGUAAUUUCCUGGGCUUCUCCUUACCCUGGCGAGUAUUCUUUGUACCGAUUUUAGUCUGAAGUCUGGUAGGUACAAAAGUUAGUUUGUGUAUUUGCUAUUUGUUAGGUGCCCUUCAUCCUGGUAUUUAAAAUUCUGGCCCAUAAAGAAACAACCACACUCACUUGUUCCCUCAAUCUUAUUGUGCCUCUUGGCAGCUUCUGACAUUGUCAACCGCUCCCUUCUUCUGACACACUUCUCUUGACUCCCACGCCAGCACGCUCUCUGGGGUUCCCCCUCCUCUGGCUGCUCCUCCUCAGCAUCCUAGCAGGCUUCUCCCUUUUCUCUCUUUACCCACCACUUGCUGUACAAAUGCGGAGUUCCCUAGGGCUCUUUCCUGGGCCCUUGUGUCUUCUCAUUUUACACUUUCUUUCGAGAUGAUCCCACAGAAGUCACAUGGCUUCCAGUAUCCACUCCAUGUCAAAGAUACUUAGUCUGUUUCUAUUGCUUAUGACAGAAUAUCUGAAACUGGGGUCGGGUGCAGUGGCUCACGCUUGUAAUCUCAGCACUUUGGGAGGCUGAGGCGGGUGGGUCAUGAGGUCAGGAGUUGAAGACCAACCUGACCAAGAUGGUGAAACCCCAUCCCUACUAAAAAUAUAAAAAUUAGCCAGGCGUGGUGGCAGGUGCCUGUAAUCCCAGCUACCCCAGAGGCUGAGGCAGG
rnacentral:lncRNA from 1 species